rnacentral:rRNA from 1 species
GAGAGUUAAAUAGUACGUGAAAUUGUUGAAAGGGAAACGAUUGAAGUCAGUCAUACCAACGGGAAAUCAACCUCUUGAGUUUGGUCUCGUGGGUUUCGAAGAGUUUAAAAGCCUUCGGAUUUUCGAGAUUGGGCUCUUCUGGUGUACUUUCUCGUACGGUUAGUCAACAUCGGUUUUGAAUGUCAUAAAAUGACUGGAGGAAUGUGGCUUCGAUCUCGUAUUGAAGUGUUAUAGCCUUUGGUAGAUGUGAUGUUCGAGACCGAGGAUUGCAACGGAUACCCUUCUGGGCUAUUCGUCUGAUCUCUGAAACGUUGCCUUGAUGUCGAAAGCUUGCUUAUGAUGUUAGGGUAUUACGGUCAAAAGGUUAGAACGGAUUAAAUUCGUUAAGGAUGUUGACGUAAUGACUUUAAACGA